rnacentral:rRNA from 1 species
AUUGAACGCUGGCGGAAUGCUUUACACAUGCAAGUCGAGCGGCAGCACGGGGGCAACCCUGGUGGCGAGCGGCGAACGGGUGAGUAACACAUCGGAACGUACCCUGUCGUGGGGGAUAACGAGUCGAAAGAUUCGCUAAUACCGCAUACGACCCGAGGGUGAAAGCGGGGGAUCGCAAGACCUCGCGCGACUGGAGCGGCCGAUGGCGGAUUAGCUAGUUGGUGGGGUAAAGGCCCACCAAGGCGACGAUCCGUAGCGGGUCUGAGAGGACGGCCCGCCACACUGGGACUGAGACACGGCCCAGACUCCUACGGGAGGCAGCAGUAAGGAAUAUUGGUCAAUGGAGGGAACUCUGAACCAGCCAUCCCGCGUGAAGGAUGAAGGGGCUCUGCCUUGUAAACUUCUUUUGCAUGGGACGAAAAAACUUAAUUUAUUAAGGACUGACGGUACCAUGAGAAUAAGCACCGGCUAACUCCGUGCCAGCAGCCGCGGUAAGUCUCGCGUGA